rnacentral:rRNA from 1 species
UACGUAGGCAGCGAGCGUUGUUCGGAGUUACUGGGCGUAAAGCGUGCGUAGGCGGUUUUGUAAGUUUGGUGUGAAAUCUCCCGGCUCAACUGGGAGGGUGCGCCGAAAACUGCAAGGCUGGAGUGUGGGAGAGGUAGGCGGAAUUCCUGGUGUAGCGGUGAAAUGCGUAGAUAUCGGAAGGAAGACCAGUGGCGAAGGCGAAUCUCUGGACAGUUACUGACACUGAGGCACGAAGGCCAGGGGAGCAAACGGG